rnacentral:rRNA from 1 species
UACAGAGGGUGCAAGCGUUGUUCGGAAUUAUUGGGCGUAAAGCGCGUGUAGGCGGCUUGGCAAGUCGGGUGUGAAAGCCCUCAGCUCAACUGAGGAAGUGCGCCCGAAACUGCUUGGCUUGAGUACCGGAGAGGAUGGUGGAAUUCCCGAAGUAGAGGUGAAAUUCGUAGAUAUCGGGAGGAACACCGGUGGCGAAGGCGACCAUCUGGACGGAUACUGACGCUGAGACGCGAAAGCGUGGGUAGCAAACAGG